ensembl:lncRNA
CUUUCUCCCUGUACACAGGACCAAAAGUGCAGGCACAUCAUUUAUUGAUAAGACAAAAAGAAUGUAAUGAAAUUAUCAAUGUUCUUGAAUUAAUUAUGAACAUGAUUAAGAAAGCUAAAAUCUCAGGAGCCAGGAUCUCAUUACCCAUUCAGUCUUAGGGAUUGCUUUCAUUCAGCAAGGCAAAAAGGCUUUGAGCAGUCCCACAAUUGCCUUAGUCUCAUUUAUUUGUGGUAGUAUUAAGGUUUAUUUGUUUUCUGGUUUGCACUUCUUCUGAAAUUAUUUCUUAGUUUAUUCAUUUAACAAAAUGUUCCUUCCUAUGUCAAAGAAGAAAGUGCCUACAAGGCCUAGAUAGGUUCUUCAGUCUGCAGACCUCCCUUUGAGAACAUUUCUUCCAACUCACAUUGCUGGAGCUCCUAAAUAUCUUUCAAGGUAUGAACAUGUUAUAUUUAACGAAAAGUCCACUCUUCUUCCAGGAUCUUUGCAAGCAUUUGGGACAAGUUCUUCAGUUAAUUCCAAAGCAGACAAAACUUCUCUUGUGAAACUUUCUCACCUUUCUGACUGGAUGAAGACAGGUCCUGAAACAUGCCGGGCUGAGAAGAGCUACUCAAAAAAAUAAUUGAACAUGCUGGCCUAUUUACUUACUAUUUACUUUACUUCUUACUUAAGAAGUUCCAAGAAUAUCACUGCUAAGAGUCCUGGCUCAAGCCCUGCAAUGAUGUCAACAACAAAUAACAUUUCCAGUCCAGGAUGAACAUAUGCAUCCAUUUUUUCAGCAAGGAGUAGAAGUUUCAGGAGGUUGUCAAUUUGAAGAUAUUCUCAUCUUAAUCAUUACAUCAUUUGCUUUGUUCAUUAUUAUCCAGGUGACACCAAGGAAUUGCAUAAAUAAGGAAUACUGCCACGCAAAUGAUGAGGUACAGCAAAUGACAUCAGCAAAUUACAAAACAGCCCCUGCAAGUUAUACAAGGAGACAGAGAAUCCAUUCCACAUGAUCAGGAAGAACAAAGUGAUAAUAAAAGCAGGUUUUAUGGAGGUUAUGUCUCACAGCUCUUUAG